CCUACGGGAGGCUGCAGUGGGGAAUAUUGCACAAUGGGGGAAACCCUGAUGCAGCGACGCCGCGUGAGUGAAGAAGGAUUUCGGUAUGUAAAGCUCUAUCAGCAGGGAAGAAAGAGCGACCUUUGGGUCGCCAGACGGUACCUGAUGAAGAAGCACCGGCGAACGACGUGCCAGCAGCCGCGGUAAUACGUAGGGGGCAAGCGUUCUCCGGAUUUACUGGGUGGACAGGGAGCGUAGACGGCAGCGCAAGUCUGAAGUGAAAUGCCGGGGCUUAACCCCGGAACUGCUUUGGAAACUGUGCAGCUAGCGUGCAGGAGAGGUAAGUGGACUUCCUAGUGUAGCGGUGAAAUGCGUAGAUAUUAGGAGGCACACCAGUGGCGAAGGCGGCUUACUGGACUGUACCUGCCGUUGCGGCUCGAAAGCGUGGGGAGCAAACAGGAUUAGAUUCCCUAGUAGUC
rnacentral:rRNA from 1 species